GACGAACGCUGGCGGCGUGCUUAACACAUGCAAGUCGAACGGAAAGGCCUGCUUUCCCUUGUGGAUUGCGGGUACUCGAGUGGCGAACGGGUGAGUAACACGUGAGUGAUCUGCCCCCGACUUGGGUAUAAGCCUGGGAAACUGGGUCUAAUUCCCGAUAGGACUGCAGGGUGGUGCCUGUGGUGGAAAACGAUUUUCUAGUGGUUGGGGAUGAGCUCGCGGCCUAUCAGCUUGUUGGUGGGGUAAUGGCCUACCAAGGCGGCGACGGGUAGCCGGCCUGAGAGGGUGGACGGCCACAUUGGGACUGAGAUACGGCCCAGACUCCUACGGGAGGCAGCAGUGGGGAAUAUUGCACAAUGGGCGGAAGCCUGAUGCAGCGACGCCGCGUGGGGGAUGACGGCCUUCGGGUUGUAAACUCCUUUCGACCGCGAGGAAGCCACCUGGUUGGAAGGGUGGUGACGGUAGUGGUAGAAGAAGCACCGGCUAACUACGUG
rnacentral:rRNA from 1 species